AAUUCUAAAUAUAAGAGAGGCAAAAACUCCCAUUUAUUGUCUACGCACCCUUCCAAUCAAAAUUUAUGAGUUACGACAUGUCGCAACUAACAAUUUAGUAAAAAUAAUUUGUUGAAAUCUUAUAAAGUUAAUGAAAGUAAGUGAAAAUAAGCCAAAAUCAAAAUUUAAAAUUUGACCUUGACCUUUGACCUUGACCUAAUUUUCAUUUUUUUUGGACCAAGGAUCUUAAAUCAAAAGACCCUAGGUCUCUAUCACUUAUGGUUUACCAGUUAGAAAUGCAUAUCACUUAUUAUCAUAUAUAAAAGGGGGGAUAACUCUCAUAUGGAGUCUCCGGAUAGCUUCGGUCAAAAUGAAACAGAACAUCCUGAGGAUAUAACGAGCAAUUUGGAAAAAUAAAUUUGUCGGUUUCUUAUACGGUUGCGAAGCCUUAGAGAUAACAAGAAAAACAGUGUUCGGGGAGAUAACUCUUACAUGAGAAAGUUUUGUUACGCGAGUUGGUUUCAAAAAGCGUAUAAACUGUUUCGAUAUCAUAUUUCCAAAUAUCUAAGCGACAUCUUGCGAACAAAAAAAACAGCGAAGGAAAAAAAAGUUGGCGGAAGAAAAAAAAUAAUAAUAAUAAUAAUUAAAAACCAAUUGUUCAAAGAACAAUUGAAGGUCUUUCAACUAAUAAAGAUCUAUUUUGAUAUGAAAAUAUUAAAAUUCAGUUGAAAAUGUCAGUUCCUAUGGCUUAAUGAUGUAUAAAUAUGAAUUUCAAGCAAAGGUCAAAAUCUAGAACGUCCAAUUAACCUAUGACCUUGACCUCAAUUUCAAGGUCAUAAACCAAGGAUCCCAAAUCAAAAGACCCUUGGUCUGUAUUAUGUAUGGUUCAUGAGUAAUAUCACUUUAAACAUAAUUCUAAAUAUAAGAGGGGCGAACACUCCCAUUUAUUGUCUACGCACCCUUGCAACCAAAAUUUAUAAGUUACGACAUGUCGCAACUAACAAUUUAGUAAAAAUAAUUUGUCGAUAUCUUAUAAGGUUAAUGAAAAUAAGUGAAAAUAAGCCAAAAUCAAAAUUUAAAAUUUGACCUUGACCUUUGACCUUGACCUAAUUUUCAUUUUUUUAGACCAAGGAUCUUAAAUCAAAAGACCCUAGGUCUCUAUCACUUAUGGUUUACCAGUUAGAAAUGCAUAUCACUUAUAUCAUAUACAAAAGGGGGGAUAACGCUCAUAUGGAGUCUCCGGAUAGCUUCGGUCAAAAAAAAACUGAACAUCCUGAGGAUAUAACGAGCAAUUUGGAAAAAUAAAUUUGUCGGUUUCUUAUACGGUUGCGAAGCCUUAGAGAUAACAAGAAAAACAGUGUUCGGGGAGAUAACUCUUAUUUGGGAAAGUAUGCAGUUAAGCAGAGUUGGUUUCAAAAGCGUAUAAACUGUUCGAUAUCAUAUACCAUAUAUCUAAGCGACAUCUUGCGAAACAAAAAAACAGCGAAGGAAAAAAAAUGUGGCGGAAGAAAAAAAAAAAUAAUAAUAAUAAUAAUAAUAAUCAGAACAAAACCUAUAGGUCUUUCAACUGAAAGGUUGAAAGACCUAAUAAUAAUAAUAAUAAUCAGAACAAAACCUAUAGGUCUUUCAACUGAAAGGUUGAAAGACCUAAUUAAAAACCAAUUGUUCAAAGAACAAUUGAAGGUCUUUCAACUAAUAAAGAUCUAUUUUGAUAUGAAAAUCUUAAAAUUCAAUUGAAAAUGUCAGUUCCUAUGGCUUUAUGAUGUUUAAAUAUGAAUUUAAAGCAAAGGUCAAAAUCUAGAACGUCCAAUUAACCUUUGACCUUGACCUCAAUUUCAAGGUCAUAGACUAAACAUCUCGAAUCAAAAGACACUAGUUCCUUAAUAUGUAUGGUUCAUGAGUAAUAUCACUUUACGCAUAAUUCUAAAUAUAAGAGGGGCAAAAACUCCAGUUUAUUGUCUACGCACCCUUGCAACCAAAAUUUAUAAGUUACGACAUGUCGCAACUAACAAUUUAGUAAAAAUAAUUUGUCGAUAUCUUAUAAGGUUAAUGAAAAUAAGUGAAAAUAAGCCAAAAUCAAAAUUUAGAAUUUGACCUUGACCUUUGACCUUGACCUAAUUUUCAUUUUUUUGGACCAAGGAUCUUAAAUCAAAAGACCCUAGGUCUCUAUCACUUAUGGUUUACCAGUUAGAAAUGCAUAUCACUUAUAUCAUAUACAAAAGGGGGAUAACGCUCAUAUGGAGUCUCCGGAUAGCUUCGGUCAAAAUAAAACAGAACAUCCUGAGGAUAUAACGAGCAAUUUGGAAAAAUAAAUUUGUCGGUUUCUUAUACGGUUGAGAAGCCUUAGAGAUAACAAGAAAAACAGUGUUCGGGGAGAUAACUCUUACAAGGUAAAGUUUUUUGUUACGCGGUGUCAGUUUCAGAAGCGUAUUAACUGUUCGAUAUCAUAUACCAUAUAUCUAAGCGACAUCUUGGGAAAAAAAAAAACAGUGAAGGAAAAAAAAUUUGGCGGAAGAAAAAAAAAAAUAAUUAAAAACCAAUUGUUCAAAGAACAAUUGAAGGUCUUUCAACUAAUAAAGAUCUAUUUUGAUAUGAAAAUAUUAAAAUUCAGUUGAAAAUGUCAGUUCCUAUGGCUUUAUGAUGUAUAAAUAUGAAUUUAAAGCAAAGGUCAAAAUCUAGAACGUCCAAUUAACCUUUGACCUUGACCUCAAUUUCAAGGUCAUAGACUAAACAUCUCGAAUCAAAAGACACUAGUUCCUUAAUAUGUAUGGUUCAUGAGUAAUAUCACUUUACGCAUAAUUCUAAAUAUAAGAGGGGCGAAAACUCCCGUUUAUUGUCUACGCACCCUUGCAACCAAAAUUUAUAAGUUACGACAUGUCGCAACUAACAAUUUAGUAAAAAUAAUUUGUCGAUAUCUUAUAAGGUUAAUGAAAAUAAGUGAAAAUAAGCCAAAAUCAAAAUUUAGAAUUUGACCUUGACCUUUGACCUUGACCUAAUUUUCAUUUUUUUUGGACCAAGGAUCUUAAAUCAAAAAGACCCUAGGUCUCUAUCACUUAUGGUUUACCAGUUAGAAAUGCAUAUCACCUAUAUCAUAUAUAAAAGGGGGGAUAACUCUCAUAUGGAGUCUCCGGAUAGCUUCGGUCAAAAUUAAUCAAAUCAUCUUGAGGAUGUAACGAGCAAUUUGGUAAAAUAAAUUUGUCGGUUUCUUAUACGGUUGCGAAGCCUUAGAGAUAACAAGAAAAACAGUGUUCGGGGAGAUAACUCUUACAAGGUAAAGGUUUUUGUUACGCGGUGUCAGUUUCAGAAGCGUAUUAACUGUUCGAUAUCAUAUACCAUAUAUCUAAGCGACAUCUUGCGAAACAAAAAAACAGUGAAGGAAAAAAAAGUUGGCGGAAGAAAAAAAAUAAUAAUAAUAAUAAUAAUAAUAAUAAUAAUCAGAACAAAUACAAUAGGUCUUUCACCUGAAAGGUUGAAAGACCUAAUAAUCAGGGUCUUUCACCUGAAAGGUUGAAAGACCUAAUAAUCAGAACAAAAACAAUAGGUCUUCAACUGAAAGGUUGAAAGACCUAAUAAUAAUCAGAACAAAACCUAUAGGUCUUUCAACCGAAAGGUUGAAAGACCUAAUAAUAAUAAUAAUCAGAACAAAAACAAUAGGUCUUUCACCUGAAAGGUUGAAAGACCUAAUAAUAAUCAGAACAAAAACAAUAGGUCUUUCACCUGAAAGGUUGAAAGACCUAAUAAUAAUAAUCAGAACAAAAACAAUAGGUCUUUCAUCCGAAAGGUUGAAAGACCUAAUAAUCAGAAGAAAUCCAAUAGGUCUUUCCACGGAAAAGUGGAAAGACCUAAUAAUAAUCAGAAGAAAUCCAAUAGGUCUUUCCACGGAAAAGUGGAAAGACCUAAUUAUAU
rnacentral:lncRNA from 1 species